rnacentral:rRNA from 1 species
UACAUGGGGUGCAAACGUUGCUCGGAAUCAUUGGGCGUAAAGCGCGCGUAGGCGGUUACUUAAGUCGGAUGUGAAAGCCCUCGGCUUAACCGAGGAAGUGCAUCCGAAACUGAGUAGCUAGAGUACUAAAGAGGGUCGCGGAAUUCCCGGUGUAGAGGUGAAAUUCGUAGAUAUCGGGAGGAACACCGGUGGCGAAGGCGGCGACCUGGGUAGAUACUGACGCUGAGGCGCGAAAGUGUGGGGAGCGAACAGG